rnacentral:rRNA from 1 species
AUUGAACGCUGGCGGCAGGCCUAACACAUGCAAGUCGAGCGAGCGGCGGACGGGUGAGUAAUGUCUGGGAAACUGCCUGAUGGAGGGGGAUAACUACUGGAAACGGUAGCUAAUACCGCAUACCAUCAGAUGUGCCCAGAUGGGAUUAGAGAGUAGGUGGGGUAAAGGCUCACCUAGGCGACGAUCCCUAGCUGGUCUGAGAGGAUGACCAGCCACACUGGGACGUAGACACGGCCCAGACUCCUACGGGAGGCAGCCGUGGGGAAUAUUGCACAAUGGGCGCAAGCCUGAUGCAGCCAUGCCGCGUGUAUGAAGAAGGCCUUCGGGUUGUAAAGUACUUUCAGCGGUGAGGCGUUACCCGCAGAAGAAGCACCGGCUAACUCCGUGCCAGCAGCCGCGGUAAUUC